rnacentral:rRNA from 1 species
AUGGAGGCCGCCGCAGCGCCAGCGGCACCCGUCCCCGACCAGGGGGGUUCCCAUUGGAACGCAUCGAAGGCGGCACGGAGGGGCGACUGCGAUGAGAGCGCCGCCGAUUUCAUCAGCAGGGUCCCCGACGCCGUCCUCUGCACCAUCAUCUCCCUCCUCCCCACCAAGGACGGCGGCCGCACGCAGGUCUUCUCCCGCCGAUGGCGCCCCCUGUGGCGCUCCGCCCCUCUCAACCUCGAGGUCCGCCCAUACCCCGGCCGCGGCGUCCGCACCUCCUCCGUCGCCCCCGAUGUCGUCCCCAAGGUAAUCUCGCAGCAUCCUGGUCCCGCCCGCCGAUUCUGCUUCCACGGCCUCCGCCCCGGCGACCUCCACGACCAGGCGGAGAGCUGGUUCCGCUCCCGAGCCCUCGCCAACCUUGAGGAGCUCGAUGUCGGCUACAAGAUCUACGGUGAAAACGAUUUACAAGAACUUAUUGUGGCGAGAAUUUCCCUGCCGCCAUCCGCCUCGCUCUGCAUCUACCCUCCUCGUUGCCAAGAUCGGCUACUGUGA